UUGAUAGAAACAAACGUGCUCAGACUUCUGCAAAUGGGAGAAAGCUGCCUCUGAAAUUAUUUCCAUUUUCAAGAGGGGCUUGCAGAAUUUUUAGGAUGCAAUGCCCUUCGUUGUCACAGAGUAAGGAGCUUCCUGCAUAGAAUAUAGCCUCUAAACUGAGUUAAAGCCAAAUCCAGAGUUUGCCCCAACAGCUCUGCCAAGCAUUCUGGAGAAAAGGGGUACCUGUGCAGCCGUGAGGGUGCCAGGAGGGCACAUUCCCCCUGGAUCUGCA